rnacentral:misc_RNA from 1 species
GCGAUAAUAUGUGAAAUAAAACAAAUCAAUAAUUUAUUUGAUUUUUCCUAUAUUAUACGUGUCAUUUACUGGAUAUUUCGGUGUUUUACCAACAUAAACAAUGCUGAGUACACAAGCGAUGUUAUCCUGCUAAGAAUCAACCAUGCUUUAGUUCUUAAAAAGAUAAUUGUCAAAAUGGUCAGAAAAAACAACAAAGGAUAUGCCACCAUACGGAGAAGAAAGGGAACGCUUCAUUUUCAUCCAAAGUCACCUGCAGAAUCCGAUGUUGAAGAUUCUAUUCAGCCUGAUGAAAAUGUUAUUAAAGUCUCUGUACUACAGAAGAUUAUGUCGUCAGAGAAACGACUUUUCUUGGGUUUGGUUGCAUUUCGCUGCAUCAACGCACUGAUGAUUCAGACGUCAUUUGUUCCCGAUGAAUACUGGCAAUCAUUAGAAGUGGCACAUAACAUGGCAUUUGGUUAUGGCCACAUGACAUGGGAAUGGAGGAAAGGACUUAGAGGAUACACAUACCCUUUGCUCUUUUCUAUAGUCUACAAAGUACUUGGGGUCCUGAGAUUAGACUAUGCUGUUCUACUAGUAAAGUUGCCCAGGAUUAUUCAAGGUAUCGCUACGGCAUUCUGUGAUCUCUACACCUAUAAACUUAGUAAGAAACUAUCAGAUGGCAAAACUGCUCAAUACACCCUGCUCUGCCAGUUGAUGUCUUGGUUCAUGUUCUACUGUGGCCCAAGGACUGUUACUAACUCCAUGGAGACAACACUUUGUGUCAUAGGCCUCUAUUUCUUCCCCUGGCCUGGGACCUCAAGGAAGACACAGCUAGAGUUCAUUCUUCUUGCUGCUCUUUCAAUCAUUGUCCGUCCAACAGCCGCCAUUCUGUGGCUCCCUCUAUUCUGCUGGCACAUGUGGAUGAUGCGAGACAUCCCCUUUAAGAUGAUCAAACUUUACAUGGGCGUUGGUCUCGUUUCAGUUCUCUGUUCUUUCUGGAUUGACCAUGUCUUCUAUGGUAGAUGGGUGUUUGUCCAGUACAACUUCCUUGAGUUCAAUGUGCUACAUGACAUGGGGUCAUUCUAUGGGUCCCACCCUGCCCAUUGGUACCUGACUCAGGGCCUCCCUGUAGUGCUAGCUACUCACACCAUUCCAUUCCUCAUGGGGCUCCCAAGGAUCAGGCACCCCGCAGUGCUGGCCAUCAUUGUUUGGCUGCUCUUUGCAUAUAGUAUGCUGGGUCACAAAGAGUUCAGGUUCAUCAUGCCAAUCUUGCCUCUGUGUAUGCACAUCUGUGGCCGCUAUAUCAGCUAUGUGGUCAGGGAGUGGGGGAAAGAAAUCACAAUAGAACCCCUGCAUCACCUUGUCCCCAACCUGCCUCCAGACUCCACUAUACAGGAGACUGAUGAAGCUGCUGGAGAUAUGGGGGAAGGCAUGAAAGAUACUGAAGAAACAUCUAAACCUACUGAGGAAACAUCCCAAGAUAAUGGUGAAACAGCUAAAGAUACCAAUGAGAGUAUAUCUAUUAAGGAUAGUUCCGAUGUACCAAAAUCCAAAUCCAAAGAGAGUGAAAAUAAAAGUGAUUCUAUUGAUAAAUCUGAUGAGAAUAAAAGUGACAAGCCAGAUGCAACAACAAAUGAAAGUGCAAUAACAGCAACUAACGCAAAUCAGGAGAGUAAACUUGACCCAAAAAUGAAAGAUGGGAGUGAUGAAAAGAUUGUCAAUGACAGUGACUCAAAUGACCAAAAUAAAAGCAUGGGUAAAGAAACCAAAGACAAAUCCAAUGCAAAAUCAAAACAUUUUAACAAAACUUCACAAAAGAAAUCUCAGAAAGACGCAAAUGUCUCUAAAUCUCAUUCUGCAAUAUCUUGUUUUGGAAAAAUACACAAAAUCAGACUAAAAGAACUGAAAAAGCAGCUAUAUACUCUGCUUAUAGUUUUUAGAAACUACAAGUUUGUGAAAGUGUUGGCUUAUGUGUAUACACGCUGGUUGAUACUUCUUCAGCCUGUAAUGAAAUUACGCUACAUUCUAGCAGCACUGCUUAUGACAAAUCUACCUAUAGCUCUGUACACAUGUCUGUUGCAUCAGCGAGGCACCAUUGAUGUUAUGAGGUACCUUGCUACGGAGGCAGGGAUGCGGCACAACAAAGCAGGGAUGGAUGUAAUGUUCCUCAUGCCAUGUCACUCUACGCCAUAUUACAGUUAUAUCCACCACAACAUCAGCAUGAACUUCCUCACAUGCGAACCCAACCUCGACCACCUGCAAAACUACACAGACGAAGCAGACCUAUUCUACCAGAAUCCAAAACACGUGUUGAGGCAGACAUUCCAUAAUGCGAGCAGCCUCCCCACCCACCUUGUGAUGUUCAAUACACUGCAUUCCUCUUUGCUGUCUCUCUUAGGAGAGUUUCAAUACAGGGACUGUGCUAAGUUUUUCCAUGCUCAUAUAAUCGAUGACUCCAGAGUUGGAAGUCAUGUCAUUGUUGCCUGCAGGUCUGUUAGGUCUUCAUAAGAACUAUAGAAAACUGCCAUUCAUUCCAUCCAUUCAGAGGUAAAAUAAUGUUACAUAGGACUCCACAUAAGUAUCUUUUCGGGGCCCAUUACUUAAGCAUAUUGAUUUUAGAUUAAGCGACUUGCCCGGAUCAAUAAUUGGUGAGGCAAAAUGGGUGAGGCAAAGAAGAUAUUAGAGAGGUUUCACACAGAGGGUUAAAGCUAAAAUGUAUCCGCAAACACAUCUUAUUUAAUUGAACUACUACGCAUAAAUCUGGUGAAUGCUUAAAAGAUUUUAGGUACACUGGGAUAAAAAUGUUGUGCGAAACUUCUCUAUUAUACUUCUAUAAAACAAAUUUUGGGUUCAGUCAAAAAUAAUGUUACAAGUGGUUUUUUUGAAGAUUUUGGUGAGGUACUUGUCUAAUGCCUGCCUCAUAGUUUAGCUAUGUUCAUCAGAUUCAUAUAUUUUACUGAUUUUAUGAUAUUUUCAAUUAUAUCACCAAAAACUAUAGAUAGAUUCAGGUACUCAUACCUGUUGAUUUAUAUCAAUGUUGUUUGUAAUGUAGGACAAUUGCCAAUAGAACAGUGAUGUAAAGAUUUGUUUUUAAGAUAAGCAAUAGCCAGCUUUUGCCAAGGGGAGUUCACUUUUCAAAAAUUCCAUGGGGGUCACGUUUGACAACUUUGGCCCAAAAUUAUUU